UUCAGAGGAGGCUCUUCUGAGGCUGCUGCCAGUGGUCAAAGCCUCCAACAAAGCUCUGCUGUCUGGCUGUAACCUCUCAGAGAGAAGCUGUGAAGCUCUGCGCUCAGUUCUCAUCUCAAAGUUUCUUAGUAUGGGAGAACUGGACCUGAGUAACAAUGCCCUGCAAGACUCGGGAGUGAAGCUGUUGUCUGCUGGAUUGAAGAGUCCAAACUGUACCCUGGAAACUAUCAAUCUGUCUGGCUGUCUGAUCACAGAGGAAGGCUGUACUUUUCUGGCCUCAGCUCUAAGC